rnacentral:rRNA from 1 species
GACGGAGGAUGCAAGUGUUAUCCGGAAUCACUGGGCGUAAAGCGUCUGUAGGUGGUUUGAUAAGUCAACUGUUAAAUCUUGAAGCUCAACUUCAAAAUCGCAGUCGAAACUAUUAGACUAGAGUAUAGUAGGGGUAAAGGGAAUUUCCAGUGGAGCGGUGAAAUGCGUAGAUAUUGGAAAGAACACCGAUGGCGAAGGCACUUUACUGGGCUAUUACUGACACUCAGAGACGAAAGCUAGGGUAGCAAAUGGG